rnacentral:rRNA from 1 species
GAUGAACGCUGGCGGCGUGCCUAAUACAUGCAAGUCGAGCGAACAGACGAGGAGCUUGCUCCUCUGACGUUAGCGGCGGACGGGUGAGUAACACGUGGAUAACCUACCUAUAAGACUGGGAUAACUUCGGGAAACCGGAGCUAAUACCGGAUAAUAUAUUGAACCGCAUGGUUCAAUAGUGAAAGACGGUUUUGCUGUCACUUAUAGAUGGAUCCGCGCCGCAUUAGCUAGUUGGUAAGGUAACGGCUUACCAAGGCAACGAUGCGUAGCCGACCUGAGAGGGUGGUCGGCCACCCGGGAACUGAGACAGAGUCCAGACUCCUACGGUAAGCAGCAGUAGGGAAUCUUACGCAAUGGGCGAGAGCCUGACGGAGCAACGCCGCGUGAGUGAUGAAGGUCUUCGGAUCGUAAAACUCUGUUAUUAGGGAAGAACAAAUGUGUAAGUAACUAUGCACGUCUUGACGGUACCUAAUCAGAAAGCCACGGCUAACUACGUG